rnacentral:RNase_P_RNA from 1 species
GAAGCACGCCAGACCGCCGCUGGUGCAAUCAUGGAAACAUGGCACUGGAGGAACGUCCGGACUGCGCAGGGCAGCGUAGGAGGUAACACCUCUCCACCGCGAGGUGAGGAUCAGAGCAACAGAGACGAGCCGGUUCAGUCCGGGUGAAACGGGCAAUCUCUACGCGCAGCAAUACCAAAUAGGUGGACAUCGAGGCGGCCCGCUGAGUCCACGGGUAGGUAGCACCGAGCCGGGUGGCGACAUCCGGCCCAGAUUAAUGGCGGUCACAUGGCGGGCAACCGUCGUGCACAGAAUCCGGCUUAUCGGCGUGCUUCACAC